UUUGGAUUUUCCACCUAGUGGCAAACGGGUGAGUAACACGUGGGUUACCUACCCUUAAGUUGGGGAUAACAGUUGGAAACGAUUGCUAAUACCGAAUGUGCUCUACGGAGUAAAGGAGCCCUUAAAGCUUCGCUUAAGGAUGGGCCUGCGGUGCAUUAGCUUGUUGGUGGGGUAAUGGCCUACCAAGGCAACGAUGCAUAGCCGAACUGAGAGGUUGAUCGGCCACACUGGGACUGAGACACGGCCCAGACUCCUACGGGAGGCAGCAG
rnacentral:rRNA from 1 species